rnacentral:rRNA from 1 species
GCUGACGACCGGCGCACGGGUGCGUAACGCGUAUACAAUCUACCUUUUACAGGGGGAUAGCCCGGGGAAACCCGGAUUAAUAUCCCAUGGUAUCAUUGAAUGGCAUCAUUUAAUGAUUAAAGCUUCGGCGGUAAAAGAUGAGUAUGCGUCCUAUUAGUUAGUUGGUAAGGUAACGGCUUACCAAGGCAUCGAUAGGUAGGGGUCCUGAGAGGGAGAUCCCCCACACUGGUACUGAGACACGGACCAGACUCCUACGGGAGGCAGCAGUGAGGAAUAUUGGACAAUGGGCGAGAGCCUGAUCCAGCCAUGCCGCGUGCAGGAAGACUGCCCUAUGGGUUGUAAACUGCUUUUAUACGGGAAGAAACACUCCUUCGUGAAGGAGCUUGACGGUACCGUACGAAUAAGGAUCGGCUAACUCCGUGCCAGCAGCCGCGGUAAUACGGAGGAUCCAAGCGUUAUCCGGAAUCAUUGGGUUUAAAGGGUCCGUAGGCGGGUACGUCAGUCAGUGGUGAAAGUCUGCAGCUCAACUGUAGAACUGCCAUUGAUACUGCAUACCUUGAGUAAUUAUGAAGUGGUUAGAAUAUGUAGUGUAGCGGUGAAAUGCAUAGAUAUUACAUAGAAUACCGAUUGCGAAGGCAGAUCACUAAUAAUUUACUGACGCUGAUGGACGAAAGCGUAGGUAGCGAACAGGAUUAGAUACCCUGGUAGUCUACGCCGUAAACGAUGGUUACUAGCUGUUUGGCUCGAUUGA